rnacentral:rRNA from 1 species
GAUGAACGCUGGCGGCGUGCCUAAUACAUGCAAGUCGAGCGAACAGACGAGGAGCUUGCUCCUCUGACGUUAGCGGCGGACGGGUGAGUAACACGUGGAUAACCUACCUAUAAGACUGGGAUAACUUCGGGAAACCGGAGCUAAUACCGGAUAAUAUAUUGAACCGCAUGGUUCAAUAGUGAAAGACGGUUUUGCUGUCACUUAUAGAUGGAUCCGCGCCGCAUUAGCUAGUUGGUAAGGUAACGGCUUUCCAAGGCGACGAUGCGUAGCCGACCUGAGAGGGUGAUCGGCCACACUGGAACUGAGACACGGUCCAGACUCCUACGGGAGGCAGCAGUAGGGAAUCUUCCGCAAUGGGCGAAAGCCUGACGGAGCAACGCCGCGUGAGUGAUGAAGGUCUUCGGAUCGUAAAACUCUGUUAUUAGGGAAGAACAAAUGUGUAAGUAACUAUGCACGUCUUGACGGUACCUAAUCAGAAAGCCACGGCUAACUACGUG